UACGUAGGUGGCAAGCGUUGUCCGGAUUUACUGGGCGUAAAGGAUGCGUAGGCGGACAUUUAAGUCAGAUGUGAAAUACCCGAGCUUAACUUGGGUGCUGCAUUUGAAACUGGGUGUCUAGAGUGCAGGAGAGGUAAGUGGAAUUCCUAGUGUAGCGGUGAAAUGCGUAGAGAUCGGGAGGAACAUCAGUGGCGAAGGCAGCUCGCUGGAACGGUACUGACGCUGAGGCGCGAAAGCGUGGGGAGCAAACAGG
rnacentral:rRNA from 1 species